UACGGGGGGGGCAAGCGUUGUUCGGAAUUACUGGGCGUAAAGGGUUUGUAGGUGGUCUGUUAAGUCAGACGUGAAAUCCCUCAGCUUAACUGGGGAACUGCGUCUGAGACUGAUGGACUUGAGGGCAGGAGAGGAACGCGGAAUUCCAGGUGUAGCGGUGAAAUGCGUAGAUAUCUGGAGGAACACCGGUGGCGAAGGCGGCGUUCUGGACUGUUUCUGACGCUGUAAAACGAAAGCCAGGGGAGCAAACGGG
rnacentral:rRNA from 1 species